CUGAAACACCCACAACAGACCUAGACAUUUAUGCUGCUGGAAAUGUGUGAGGUCCCCAAUUGAAAUCCGAAGACUCAAAGUAACACUGAAGACAAUGAGUUAUGGAGUGGAGACUUUAUAAAUGCAGUUUCUAAGAAGAUUUUGCAAAGAGGAAAGCCAAGGAACUGUGUUACCACUGGAAAGUCCAAGUGAACUGCAAUGAGAGUAAAGACUAUUUCAUUGAAGGGGUCCAGUCUUCUUCUGUGGAUACAAUGCGCUUUACGAGAAGAAGAAAGUUCCAUCUGGAGGUGUGGAUCCAUGUGUCAGAAAAAGCUCUUGAAGUAAAUAAGAAGGGAUGCAGGAAAACUGUAUCACUUCUUUUACAUGCAAAGGGAAAGUUCUGUAAUUAAUCACUAAGUACCUUCUUUUCCACAAACAGUCCCAUUGUUUUAUCCAUGAGGAAGUCUUGUUCUGGGCUCAGUCGCUCGACUGCUUGCUCCGCAUGCAUGAAGCCUCAGGUUUGCAGAGCAUGGCAUAGCAUGGGUCUACUGGUACAUGCCUGUAUCCCUAGCACUGCUAGUACAUGCCUGUAAUCCCAGCACCCAGGAGAGGUAGUCAGGAGAAUCAAAAAUUCAAGGUCAUGAUGUGGGAGUGUCAUAUAUCAAUCUGUUGGUUUCAUUGGUUAAGCAAUAAAGAAACUCCUUGGCCCUGAAAGGUUAAAACAUAGGUGGGAGGAGUAAACAGAAUAGGAUGCUGGGAGGAAGAGGAAGUGAGCACAGACUCGACAGCUCUGCUCUCUGGAGCAGAGAUGCCAGGCUGGCUCCGCUCUCCCAGGCAGCUCCAACCCAGGAUGGAUGUAGGCUAGAAUCUUCCCGGUAAGCACACCUUGGGGUGCUUACACACAUUAUUAGAAAUGGGCUAGUCCAGGUGCGAGAAUUAGCCUAGAAGAGGCUAGA